rnacentral:rRNA from 1 species
AACGAACGCUGGCGGCAGGCCUAACACAUGCAAGUCGAACGAAGUCUUCGGACUUAGUGGCGCACGGGUGAGUAACACGUGGGAAUAUACCUUACGCUGGGGGAUAACAUCGGGAAACUGAUGCUAAUACCGCAUACGCCCUUCGGGGGAAAGAUUUAUCGGCGAAGGAUUAGCCCGCGUCCGAUUAGCUAGUUGGUGAGGUAAUGGCUCACCAAGGCUCCGAUCGGUAGCUGGUCUGAGAGGAUGACCAGCCACACUGGGACUGAGACACGGCCCAGACUACUACGGGAGGCAGCAGUGGGGGAUAUUGGAAAAUGGGCGCAAGCCUGAUCCAGCCAUGCCGCGUGAGUGAUGAAGGCCUUAGGGUUGUAAAGCUCUUUCACCCACGACGAUGAUGACGGUAGUGGGAGAAGAAGCCCCGGCUAACUUCGUG